rnacentral:rRNA from 1 species
AUGCACGCUGGCGGCGUGCUUAACCCCUGCCAGUCGCACGCAGUGUUUAUUCAAAGUUCUUCGGGAUAGAGAAUAAAUUACUUAGUGGCGGACGGGUGAGUAACGCGUGGGUAACCUGCCUCACACAGGGGGAUAACAGUUGGAAACGACUGCUAAUACCGCAUAAGACCACAGCACCGCAUGGUGCAGGGGUAAAAGAUUUAUCGGUGUGAGAUGGACCUGCGUCUGAUUAGAUAGUUGGUGGGGUAGAAGCCUACCAAGUCAACGAUCAGUAGCCGACCUGAGAGGGUGAUCGGCCACAUUGGGACUGAGACACGGCCCAAACUCCUACGGGAGGCAGCAGUGGGGAAUAUUGGACAAUGGGGGAAACCCUGAUCCAGCAACGCCGCGUGAGUGAAGAAGUAUUUCGGUAUGUAAAGCUCUAUCAGCAGGGAAGAAAAUGACGGUACCUGACUAAGAAGCCCCGGCUAACUACGUG